CAAUAGCGUAUAUUAAAAUGGUUGCGGUUAAAAAAGCUCGUAGUUGGAUUUCUGCUGAAGACGAUCGGUCCGCCCACUGGGUGAGUAUCUGGCUCGGCCUUGGCAUCUUCUUGGAGAACGUUGCUGCACUUGGCUGUGUGGUGCGGUAUCCAGGACUUUUACUUUGAGGGAAUUAGAGUGUUUCAAGCAGGCGCACGCCUUGAAUACAUUAGCAUGGAAUAAUAAGAUAGGACCUUGGUUCUAUUUUGUUGGUUUCUAGAGCUGAGGUAAUGAUUAAUAGGGAUAGUUGGGGGGGGGGGCAUUCGUAUUUAACUUUCAGAGGUGAAAUUCUUGGAUUUGUUAAAGACGGACUACUGCGAAAGGAUUUGCCAAGGAUGUUUUCAUUGA
rnacentral:rRNA from 1 species